rnacentral:rRNA from 1 species
AGAGUUUGAUCCUGGCUCAGGAUGAACGCUAGCUACAGGCUUAACACAUGCAAGUCGAGGGGAAACGAUAUUGGAAGCUUGCUUCCGAUAGGCGUCGACCGGCGCACGGGUGAGUAACGCGUAUCCAACCUGCCCAUCACUUGGGGAUAACCUUGCGAAAGUAAGACUAAUACCCAAUGAUAUCUCUAGAAGACAUCUGAAAGAGAUUAAAGAUUUAUCGGUGAUGGAUGGGGAUGCGUCUGAUUAGCUUGUUGGCGGGGUAACGGCCCACCAAGGCGACGAUCAGUAGGGGUUCUGAGAGGAAGGUCCCCCACAUUGGAACUGAGACACGGUCCAAACUCCUACGGGAGGCAGCAGUGAGGAAUAUUGGUCAAUGGACGAGAGUCUGAACCAGCCAAGUAGCGUGCAGGAAGACGGCCCUAUGGGUUGUAAACUGCUUUUAUAAGGGAAUAAAGUGAGCCUCGUGAGGCUUUUUGCAUGUACCUUAUGAAUAAGGACCGGCUAAUUCCGUGCCAGCAGCCGCGGUAAUACGGAAGGUCCGGGCGUUAUCCGGAUUUAUUGGGUUUAAAGGGAGCGUAGGCCGGAGAUUAAGCGUGUUGUGAAAUGUAGACGCUCAACGUCUGCACUGCAGCGCGAACUGGUUUCCUUGAGUACGCACAAAGUGGGCGGAAUUCGUGGUGUAGCGGUGAAAUGCUUAGAUAUCACGAAGAACUCCGAUUGCGAAGGCAGCUCGCUGGAGCGCAACUGACGCUGAAGCUCGAAAGUGCGGGUAUCGAACAGGAUUAGAUACCCUGGUAGUCCGCACGGUAAACGAUGGAUGCCCGCUGUUGGUCUGAACAGGUCAGCGGCCAAGCGAAAGCAUUAAGCAUCCCACCUGGGGAGUACGCCGGCAACGGUGAAACUCAAAGGAAUUGACGGGGGCCCGCACAAGCGGAGGAACAUGUGGUUUAAUUCGAUGAUACGCGAGGAACCUUACCCGGGCUUGAAUUGCAGAGGAAGAAUUUGGAGACAAUGACGCCCUUCGGGCCGUCUGUGAAGGUGCUGCAUGGUUGUCGUCAGCUCGUGCCGUGAGGUGUCGGCUUAAGUGCCAUAACGAGCGCAACCCCUCUCCUUAGUUGCCAUCAGGUUAUGCUGGGCACUCUGGGGACACUGCCACCGUAAGGUGUGAGGAAGGUGGGGAUGACGUCAAAUCAGCACGGCCCUUACGUCCGGGGCUA